rnacentral:rRNA from 1 species
UGGACUUCCAACCAGCUAACCUGCCAUUGACAUCAUUAUCAAAGCGUUUACGAAAAAUUGAUGCUCUAGAACUCUACAAGGGUGUGAUGCCCCCACAGGAAGAAUGUGACAUUUGGAAUCUGCAACAUUCUCCCCAAGAAUACUUCAAUGUCCUCAAUCGAAAUUACAGUUUACUGCAGUAGUGGCAAGGGUUGGGCCUACAAGCGUCCUCCAAAUGGAUGGAUUGUAAGUUCCUCUUGAAAGAUUUUUGUUAAUAAUGAUUGUCACAAUUUGAUGUAGAGUGUAUGAGCAGAGCCUCUAAAAUUGACACUUUCAUGGAAUCCAACGGCAAUCGCGAUCUGUGCAAGGAAAGGGUCCAUUCAUGCCAGUAGCAUAUGCAUGUAGACUUUUAUUGAUCAGAGUCAUAAAAUGAAAAUAAGUUGCUCCAAUGUUCGUCUUCCAAGAGGAAAAAGUGAUGUUGUAAGAGUUGUGGAGAGAAGCAUGGGUAAUCGUGGGUGCGAUCCUGGCUCUAGCAGUUGAAGAACCUCUGUCGAUUCUAAUCUCUUCUAUAAGACAUCAUUUGGUAUUUUGUCACUCACACAUUGAAUAGAGUUGCUGGUCAACGGAAGAUACCUACAUCCGGUUUGAAAGUGUCUGCUGGGAGUAGCCAUCAUGGUGAGUUAUGCUAGGAAGUUUGCUUUUGAUAAGGUUGAAUACUAAUGUACCGCACCUGAAAGUUGCUGCCGUCAUUUUGUAUGAUAGUGCCUAGAAUACUAUUAGACCUUAGCAUUUAUCAUGGCUCGGCCACGUUCGAUCUAGUUCAAUACAAAUGCAUGUGAAGCAUUGUUCCAUAACAAGCUUUGCUACACUGUCCAUUGCCAAUGGGUUGAACACACUCUGAUUGCAUUGUCGUGGCAAGUUGUUGAUCAAUGGGAGAGCUAUUUUCUGAAAAAUUGGAAGUCAGUUGUUCUCCGGUGAAAGAGUUCCCUUAUGACCUCAACUUUUGGAGGGUCUUUCUUUUGCUGCCGGGUCAACCACAAAGCUUGUUUUCCAAGUGAUGCUUCCGAGCCAUCUCUCGCUUGACCGAACAGUAUAUCACUUAUUAUUAGAGUUUCACCUGGACAGAUUGAAGAUCGAAGUAGAAUACUUCUACACUUUUUUCAUCAUUUUUGUUCAUCAUUCUAUUGGCAAGUUGAAUUAGCAUUCUAAUCCCGAACCCGUCAACUAUCUGUGGACUACUCGGCUACUCUUGUGGCGAGAGUAGGUUGCCACAUGCCGAUUGGGGGACGGAUUAGGAACGGCUCCUUCGAGGGCCUUGCUCAGACAUCAAAUAGUCAACUAAGAGGAAUCCAACUACUUGAUUAAAACAAAGCAUUGCGAUGGUUCUUGCGGAUGCUCACGCAAUGUGAUUUCUACCUAGUGCUUUGAAUGUUAAAGUGAAGAAAUUCAAUCAAGCACGGUUAAACAGAGGAAGUAACUAUGACUCUCUUAAGGUAGCCAAAUGCCUCAUCAUCUAAUUAGUGAUGCGCAUGAAUGGACUAAUGAGAUUACCACUGUCCCUGUCUACUAUUCAGUGAAAUCAUAGCCAAGGGAAUGAGCUUGGCAAAAUCAACAUGGAAAGAAGACCCUAUUGAGCUUCACUCUAGUCCGACUUUGUGAAAUGACUUGAGAGUUGUAGGGGCAUCUAGAAAUGGCAAAAGUGAAAUACCACUACUUUUAAUGUUAUUUUACUUAUUCCAUGAACGGAAGCGGGGCAAUGCCCCUUCUUUUAGAUCUAAGGUCCGCGCAUGCAGACCAAUCCGAGUAAAAGACAUUAUCAAGUGGGGAGUUUGGCUAGAGUGGCACAUUUGUUAAAAAAUAUCGUAGGUGUCCUAAUAUAAGCUCAACAAGAACAGAAAUCUCGUGUAUAACAAAAUGGUAAAAGUUCGUUUGAUUCUAAUUUUUAGUACGAAUACGAACCGUAAAACCAUGGCCAAUCAAUCCUUUAGAUCUUCAGAAUUUGAAGCUAGAAGCAUCAAAAAGUUACCACAAGGAUAACUAGCUUGUGGUGGCCAAAUGUUCAUAGUGAUGUUGCUUUUUUAUCGUUCGAUGUUGGCUCUUCCUAUCAUUGUGAAGCAGAAUUCACCAAGUGUCGAAUUAUUCACCCACCAAUAAGGAACGUGAGCUGAGUUUAGACUAUCGUGAAACAAGCUAGUUUUAUCCAACUAAUGAUUGUGUCAC